AGGGAAUAUUGGUUAAUGUGCGAAAGCGCGAACCAGCAACGCCGCGUGUGCGAUGAAGGCCUUCGGGUCGUAAAGCACUUUUUGCAGGGAAGAGGAAGGACGGUACCUGCAGAAUAAGUCUCGGCUAACUACGUGCCAGCAGCCGCGGUAAAACGUAGGAGACGAGCGUUAUCCGGAUUUACUGGGCGUAAAGCGCGUGCAGGCGGCAUGGCAAGUUGGAUGUGAAAGCUCCCGGCUUAACUGGGAGAGGUCGUUCAAAACUGCCAACCUUGAGAGUGGUAGAGGGAGGCGGAAUUCCGGGUGUAGUGGUGAAAUGCGUAGAUAUCCGGAGGAACACCAGUGGCGAAAGCGGCUUCCUGGCCCAUUUCUGACGCUCAGACGCGAAAGCUAGGGUAGCAAACG
rnacentral:rRNA from 1 species